UACAGAGGGGGCAAGCGUUGUUCGGAAUUACUGGGCGUAAAGGGCGCGUAGGCGGCCACCGCAAGUCGACUGUGAAAUCUCCGGGCUUAACCCGGAAAGGUCAGCCGAUACUGCGGGGCUAGAGUGCAGAAGGGGCAACUGGAAUUCUCGGUGUAGCGGUGAAAUGCGUAGAUAUCUGGAGGAACACCGGUGGCGAAGGCGGCAUCCUGGACCGGUACUGACGCUGAGGUGCGAAAGCGUGGGGAGCAAACAGG
rnacentral:rRNA from 1 species